rnacentral:rRNA from 1 species
UACGUAGGGUGCGAGCGUUGUCCGGAAUUAUUGGGCGUAAAGAGCUUGUAGGUGGUUUGUCGCGUCUGCUGUGAAAAUCCGAGGCUCAACCUCGGACUUGCAGUGGGUACGGGCAGACUAGAGUGUGGUAGGGGAGACUGGAAUUCCUGGUGUAGCGGUGGAAUGCGCAGAUAUCAGGAGGAACACCGAUGGCGAAGGCAGGUCUCUGGGCAACAACUGACGC